rnacentral:rRNA from 1 species
GACAGAGGGUGCAAACGUUGUUCGGAAUUACUGGGCGUAAAGCGCGCGCAGGCGGUCUUCCAAGUCAGUGGUGAAAGCCCGGAGCUCAACUCCGGAACUGCCAUUGAAACUGUUGGACUUGAGUAUGAGAGAGGUGAGUGGAAUUCCCAGUGUAGAGGUGAAAUUCGUAGAUAUUGGGAAGAACACCGGUGGCGAAGGCGGCUCACUGGCUCAUUACUGACGCUCAGGCGCGACAGCGUGGGGAUCAAACAGG